GCGUUGUCCGGAAUUACUGGGCGUAAAGAGCUCGUAGGUGGUCUGUCGCGUCAUUUGUGAAAGCCCGGGGCUUAACUCCGGGUUGGCAGGUGAUACGGGCAUGACUGGAGUACUGUAGGGGAGACUGGAAUUCCUGGUGUAGCGGUGAAAUGCGCAGAUAUCAGGAGGAACACCGGUGGCGAAGGCGGGUCUCUGGGCAGUAACUGACGCUGAGGAGCGAAAGCAU
rnacentral:rRNA from 1 species